rnacentral:rRNA from 1 species
UACGGGGGGGGGCAAACGUUAUCCGGAGUUACUGGGCGUAAAGGGCGUGUAGGUGGUUUCGUAAGUCUGGCGUGAAAUUUCUCGGCUUAACCGAGGCAGGUCGUCGGAUACUGCGGAACUAGAGGACGGUAGAGGCGUGUGGAAUUCCGGGUGUAGUGGUGAAAUGCGUAGAGAUCCGGAGGAACACCAGUGGCGAAGGCGACACGCUGGGCCGUACCUGACACUGAGGCGCGAUAGCAUGGGGAGCAAACAGG